rnacentral:ncRNA from 1 species
CUAUUCACAGGCUGAGGAUGAAAAGGGAAUCGGGUGAAAAUCCCGGACAGUCCCGCUGCUGUAAUCUCCAUAAAGAGGAUUGCUUGAUUAUCUCUUCUUACCACUGUCUGCGGUUAAUGCCAUGACGGGAAGGUAAAGCCAUCCGGAGUAAGUCAGAAGACCUGCAAAAC